GGUCAAAUGAACUAAUCCAGCAUUAUCUCAACAACUUUACCCUAAAGCUUAGAAUUUAGAGCACGCCUAUAAAAAGGGCAUACAUUUCCUUCAGAGACAUCUUAUAUUCUGUUAACUCUCACGUAUUCAUAAAAAGAUUAAGUCAUCGCAAGUGAAGUAUCGCCCGAUGUUGUCGGUUAUAUAUAUCACAACGAUGUCCAAAUCAUCAUAC
rnacentral:lncRNA from 1 species